UUCGGGGCGCGGGCGUCCGCCCGGCGCAAGCCGGGAGGAAAGUCCGGGCACCACAGGGCAGGAUUCCGCGUGAAAACGUGGGCGCCGGAGGUCAAUGGCCGGCGACGGACAGUGCCACAGAAAACAAACCACCGGGGCCUCGCGGUCCCGGCCAGGGUGAAAAGGUGGGGUAAGAGCCCACCGCGACUUCCGGCAACGGGGUCGGCAUGGCAAACCCAAUCCGGUGCAAGACCAAAUAGGGAAGCGGGCGGCCCGUCCAUGCUUCCGGGUUGGGUCGCAUCGCCUGCGGGCAAAGCGUGGUUUUCGCCACGCUUGGAGGAAUGGGGGCUUUCGUUCAAGGAUCCCUUGUUUCGUUCGCGGGCGGAGCGUGGCUUUUGCCACGUUAGAGGAAUGGGCGCCACCCUUGCCGCAAGGAAGGGCACAGAACCCGGCUUAUAGCGCCCCGGACCGU
rnacentral:RNase_P_RNA from 1 species